AGAAUUCGCCCUUAGAGUUUGAUCCUGGCUCAGGAUGAACGCUAGCUACAGGCUUAACACAUGCAAGUCGAGGGGCAUCAGUUUGGUUUGCUUGCAAACCAAAGCUGGCGACCGGCGCACGGGUGAGUAACACGUAUCCAACCUGCCUCAUACUCGGGGAUAGCCUUUCGAAAGAAAGAUUAAUAUCCGAUAGCAUAUAUUUCCCGCAUGGGUUUUAUAUUAAAGAAAUUCGGUAUGAGAUGGGGAUGCGUUCCAUUAGUUUGUUGGGGGGGUAACGGCCCACCAAGACUACGAUGGAUAGGGGUUCUGAGAGGAAGGUCCCCCACAUUGGAACUGAGACACGGUCCAAACUCCUACGGGAGGCAGCAGUGAGGAAUAUUGGUCAAUGGACGCGAGUCUGAACCAGCCAAGUAGCGUGAAGGAUGACUGCCCUAUGGGUUGUAAACUUCUUUUAUAUGGGAAUAAAGUUGUCCACGUGUGGAUUUUUGUAUGUACCAUAUGAAUAAGGAUCGGCUAACUCCGUGCCAGCAGCCGCGGUAAUACGGAGGAUCCGAGCGUUAUCCGGAUUUAUUGGGUUUAAAGGGAGCGUAGGCGGAUUGUUAAGUCAGUUGUGAAAGUUUGCGGCUCAACCGUAAAAUUGCAGUUGAUACUGGCAGUCUUGAGUGCAGUAGAGGUGGGCGGAAUUCGUGGUGUAGCGGUGAAAUGCUUAGAUAUCACGAAGAACUCCGAUUGCGAAGGCAGCUCACUGGAGUGUAACUGACGCUGAUGCUCGAAAGUGUGGGUAUCAAACAGGAUUAGAUACCCUGGUAGUCCACACAGUAAACGAUGAAUACUCGCUGUUUGCGAUAUACAGUAAGCGGCCAAGCGAAAGCAUUAAGUAUUCCACCUGGGGAGUACGCCGGCAACGGUGAAACUCAAAGG
rnacentral:rRNA from 1 species